UGAUUCAAAUGUCUCUAUUCUGUUACUUUUCUUGGUCCUUUUGUUACUUAUAUAUUGAUUAGGGCUCUGAAAGUUUGACCUAUGCAAUCAAUUUUGUAUUUGUCAAUCUGUGGUUUUGAUACUUGAUAACCUUCUAGGUUCUUUUUGUUAUAAAUUAGGAGGAGUAGGGCUUCUAUUUAAUUUGCUCUUUGUUUUGUGGAAGUGACCAGCUGAUCAAUCACCUUGUCCGAAAGAGCACUCAGAUAUGGGGAAAAAGUUCAUCCUCAUCGUCGCCUUCUUCUUAUUAGCUAUUUCUAUUUUCAUUGUUUCUUUUAUUUGUUAGAAGUAUUACUUUGCUUGUAGCUAUUGUCACUAAAAUGAAUUUAGAAUUCUCUGAAAUCAACUUAACCAAAGCUAAAGCAUGAAGGUAUCUACUUCAUCGCCUUAGCAAGCAUAUGAGGCUCUCUGAGUGUAGAUAGAUCCCUUUGCAAUUCUAACUAAUAUAAUAUUAGUAAAAGACUCAACUUUUAAGGUAAAAAACAUGGUCAAACAAAUGUAUUAGUAUUUCCAUAAAUGUGGAUGAGGAGUGUGUUUACUGAAUGAGUAUGUUAUACCUUUUUACUUGGUUGCUCUAUUAGAUCUUCAUUUGUUCAAGCCGCUUACAUUGAGAAGAUGGAAGAACAGCUUGCACUUCAUCCUCAUUUCUAUUAUGAUGUAAAAUCUGAGCGAAUAAACAUAAAUCCUUCCGAAUAUCAUGAAUAUCCUUCGCCCUCCACCUUUCAUUCGUUUCAAUGGUUAUAUUUCAAUUUCUGCCAAAAUUGACCCCUACUUCAAGUACUGUUAUUUUGCCUUCAAAGAAUUUUUGAUUCAAUAACUUAAUAAUGGAGGCUCAUGUCACUUCGUUAUUUUACUAUUAGUCGCUCAGUCGAGUACAUCGUUUUAUAAAUGAUUUGCUUUUAGCAAGAUAUUCACAUGAACUGUGGUUCAUUUUUCUGGUGAAAUAAAUUAAUAUAGUGAACAUGUUCAUUUUCAGUUUUCAGCAAUGACCUAAGUGCCAGGCAAUGAUAUUAUCAACUUCGAUUACAAGAUGUUGAAUAAUUGGAUCAUUAGACAAUACACACCAGUUUUGAAGGAAUUGAAGUCAUGGUGAUUUAUAUAGAAAUGUGAAAAGGACGACGACCAAGGGUAGAGCAGUCAUUUAGCUCAGUUAGUGCAGGGGUAGAACAGUAAUUACACAUAACUAAUUUUUGCAAAUUCGUACUUCCUUUCCCUUCUAGAUCGUUCCCUUUGGGUCUCUCUUUCCUCGAGAUCACUUCCAGAUUAACAAUUGUUAAAGUACUCGACCAUCUUCCUCAAACCUCUUCUUCUCCUUUGUGCUCUAACUAGGUAGGUUCCCAUCUUUACUAUCAAUUUGCAUGUUAAAGUAGGUUGUAACUUGUAACACAAUUGAUGCUGGGCUCUUCAUGCUUCUAUAAAGUAGUUGUAAUUUUUUGUUUGUAGCAAGCGUUAUCGGAUUAUACAUAUGUGAGUUUCUUGUUAAAAGAUUUCUGACAAUCAUCAGCUGUUUGAAAAUGGGAGCUGCACUAAGUUUUAAAACUUUCUUAAACUAUAGGGUUAUUUGUCACUUAGCUUAUCACACUAGAAUGUAAACAGUCAAUGUUCUUAUGCUGGUUAUAAUCCCGACCUCCAAUUUUCUUAACAACAAGGUGGUCAUUGAGCUAGCUUGGUCCGACAAUAUUCAAGCUGCGUUAUUAUUGAACCUAUCAUUAGUCAUUACACUCUGGAUGAUAUAAAAGUAUUAUGUAUUGAUUCCUUUGGCAUGUUCAUGAUUGGCUGUUGCAGUAUCAGAUAUUUGAGUAUAUACUGAUACAUCCGAGGUAUGCGAUGAAGCACUUAAGUAUCUCAAGAAAGGCGAACGUGGUAGAAGUUCAUCCCAGUAGAGUGACACUCACUUGAGCCUGCAAGAGUUUUUCAGCUUUAAAGGCAUAACAUCACUUGUCAGCCAAAUGAUAUACUACAGGCAUGCCUCCAUAAAAUGUGGAUUUGUAAUCUUGAAGAUAAGAAAGGUUACUUCUAUAACAGGUGAACGAGACUUGAUGGUGCAAAAUUUCCUUUAACUGACAGGCGACAUCAUAUAUUACUUAAAACUCUUGGCAAUGUGAUGUGGAUUUGGAGCAUAAGUACUAUCUUAGCCUAUGUGUAGUUCAAGUUCAAUCAUUUACUUUGUCCACAAAAGAAAGUUCUAUCAUUUGGUUAUUCUUGAAAUGCAGGUUUCUGUAUCGAAAAGAAUCGGAAAAUAAAGUAAUGUUUUAAGUAGAAAUCAGGUAAAGAAUGAACUCAAUUUAUUGAAUUUUACUCUUUUUAGAUUGCUGGUUAUGAAAGCUAGGACUUCAAGGAUAUUUUCCAUGUUUACUCUUUUCAUCUAAUAAUCUAUUUUUGUUCAUGUAAUCUCUCUCUCUCUCUCUCUGUGCAGGUCGUUGUUGAUGCAUUCAGUAGAAAUUUGGCCAAAAUUUGACCAAGCACUGGGGCAUGAAAAGUUAUAUAAGUUCAAUGCUAUUAUAGCAUGCCUUUUAUAUGAGAUACUGCUGGUUUGCUUAACCAUAGACUCGAAAAGAUGAACAAUAAAUACCAAAGACUACAUUUCUGAGUACAAGGUUGGGGGGAAUAUGACAUUGCCAUGGCUGCUCUGUGCCUCUAUGAGAUGCUGGUUGGCCAAUAUGCUCUCGAUAUAUGUAAUAAAGUUGUGGACUUGUGUCUUAAUCCUAACAGGCCAUUUAUUUUCGUAUGUGAUUCUAGCUGAAAUUUUUUGGAUUGUAGAAAUUGUGUAGUGGAUGCAUUAUAAUCGCUUUGUUUCUUCAUUUUGCGGCGUGGUCAUUAGUUCAAUCCGUAAUAGAUCGCUACACUUGCAGUAGAAAAGAAUCCAAGCUCUAAGGAAGAUGUGCCUUUUCUAGAUUCAA